UCUUGGUCAUUUAGAGGAAGUAAAAGUCGUAACAAGGUUUCCGUAGGUGAACCUGCGGAAGGAUCAUUAAUGAAAUUGACGUUCGGGAGGGGGUUGUUGCUGGCUCUACAGCAUGUGCACRCCCUCGACCGGAUUUGUUCAUCCUUCUUUCACACCUGUGCACAAUCUGUAGCUGGGGGGAUGAUCACGGAGUUUUCCAACUCCGAAUGCCUCUCGCUAUGAACGCUUUUCAAUGCACCCUUUUAAAGUUUUUAUGAAUGUCUUACCUGCGUGUAACAGCGCGAAUGAAAUACAACUUUCAGCAACGGAUCUCUUGGCUCUCGCAUCGAUGAAGAACGCAGCGAAAUGCGAUAAGUAAUGUGAAUUGCAGAAUUCAGUGAAUCAUCGAAUCUUUGAACGCACCUUGCGCUCCUUGGUAUUCCGAGGAGCAUGCCUGUUUGAGUGUCAUGAAAUUCUCAACUGCUUUUGGCUUUUGCUUGAAGUGAAGUUGGAUUUUGGAGGUUUUGUCGGCGUGCUCGACUCCUUCUAAAAGCAUGAAGCUUUUUCCCCUUGGCGCAAAAGUAUCUUUGACGUGAUAAACAUCUACGUCGCAGAGAAAAGCGGAGGGUGCUCUCCUUAGGGGAGUGCUUUCCACAGGGGGGAUCGGUUUGUUGCAUGRGGUUUAUGGCCUCGUUUGACCAAUUCGACCUCAAAUCRGGCAGGACUACCCGCUGAACUUAAGCAUAUCAAUAAGCGGAGGAA
rnacentral:rRNA from 1 species